rnacentral:rRNA from 1 species
AUGCUACUUGAUCAGUACUUAACCAAGAUUGGCAGCCAUUAUAGUUGGUGUAGAACUCAGAUAUACACACUGAAUGUUCCGAUAUGCCAAAAUAAACACAUUAGAAUCUUUUUAAUUAUAUUCCUACUAUUUUUUCGAGAUUGCUCUGCGGUAGCUAAUUUGAUGUUCUGCUAUACUACUAUUGCAUAUAGAGAGAGAUCAGGGAGGAGAGCAGCAGCCCGCUGCCGCAAUUUUGUUCAUGCUGCUGCUUGGUUACUACACAUCUAUACAGAGAACACAGAGAAGGCUGUUGCUUGCUGA